AUUGAACGCUGGCGGCAUGCCUUACACAUGCAAGUCGAACGGCAGCACGGGAGCAAUCCUGGUGGCGAGUGGCGAACGGGUGUGUAAUACAUCGGAACGUGCCCAGUUGUGGGGGAUAGCCCGGCGAAAGCCGGAUUAAUACCGCAUACGACCUACGGGUGAAAGCGGGGGAUCGCAAGACCUCGCGCAAUUUGAGCGGCCGAUGGCAGAUUAGCUUGUUGGUGGGGUAAAAGCCCACCAAGGCGACGAUCUGUAGCUGGUCUGAGAGGACGACCAGCCACACUGGGACUGAGACACGGCCCAGACUCCUACGGGAGGCAGCAGUGGGGAAUUUUGGACAAUGGGCGCAAGCCUGAUCCAGCCAUGCCGCGUGCGGGAAGAAGGCCUUCGGGUUGUAAACCACUUUUGUCAGGGAAGAAACGGUCUGAUCUAAUAAAUCGGACUAAUGACGGUACCUGAAGAAUAAGCACCGGCUAACUACGUGCCAGCAGCCGCCGUAAAAC
rnacentral:rRNA from 1 species